AUUGAACGCUGGCGGCAGGCUUAACACAUGCAAGUCGAGCGGAGAUGAGGUGCUUGCACCUUAUCUUAGCGGCGGACGGGUGAGUAAUGCUUAGGAAUCUGCCAUUUAGUGGGGGACAACAUUCCGAAAGGAAUGCUAAUACCGCAUACGUACUACGGGAGAAAGCAGGGGAUCUUCGGACCUUGCGCUAAAUGAUGAGCCUAAGUCGGAUUAGCUAGUUGGUGGGGUAAAGGCCUACCAAGGCGACGAUCUGUAGCGGGUCAGAGAGGAUGAUCCGCCACACUGGGACUGAGACACGGCCCAGACUCCUACGGGAGGCAGCAGUGGGGAAUAUUGGACAAUGGGCGGGAGCCUGAUCCAGCCAUGCCGCGUGUGUGAAGAAGGCCCUUUGGUUGUAAAGCACUUUAAGCGAGGAGGAGGCUACUAGUACUAAUACUACUGGAUAGUGGACGUUACUCGCAGAAUAAGCACCGGCUAACUCUGUGCCAGCAGCCGCCGCAGUA
rnacentral:rRNA from 1 species